CGUUUAGAGAUAAAGCGGAGGUAGUUCGGGGAGACGAGGUGGUGCAUGGUUGUCGUCAGCUCGUGUCGUGAGAUGUGGGUUAAGUCCCGCAACGAGCGCAACCCUAUUGCUAGUUACCAUCAUUAAGUUGGGGACUCUAGCGAGACUGCCAGUGAUAAACUGGAGGAAGGUGGGGAUGACGUCAAAUCAUCAUGCCCCUUAUGACCUGGGCUACAAACGUGAUACAAUGGCUGGAACAAAGGGAUGCGAAGCAGUGAUGUGGAGCGAAACCCAUAAAAACAGUCUCAGUUCGGAUUGAAGUCUGCAACUCGACUUCAUGAAGUCGGAAUCGCUAGUAAUCGCGGAUCAGAACGCCGCGGUGAAUACGUUCUCGGGGUUU
rnacentral:rRNA from 1 species